rnacentral:rRNA from 1 species
CCUACGGGGUGCUGCAGUAGGGAAUCUUCCACAAUGGGCGAAAGCCUGAUGGAGCAACGCCGCGUGGGUGAAGAAGGUCUUCGGAUCGUAAAACCCUGUUGUUAGAGAAGAAAGUGCGUGAGAGUAACUGUUCACGUUUCGACGGUAUCUAACCAGAAAGCCACGGCUAACUACGUGCCAGCAGCCGCGGUAAUACGUAGGUGGCAAGCGUUAUCCGGAUUUAUUGGGCGUAAAGGGAACGCAGGCGGUCUUUUAAGUCUGAUGUGAAAGCCUUCGGCUUAACCGGAGUAGUGCAUUGGAAACUGGGAGACUGGAGUGCAGAAGAGGAGAGUGGAACUCCAUGUGUAGCGGUGAAAUGCGUAGAUAUAUGGAAGAACACCAGUGGCGAAAGCGGCUCUCUGGUCUGUAACUGACGCUGAGGUUCGAAAGCGUGGGUAGCAAACAGGAUUAGAUACCCUGGUAGUC